rnacentral:rRNA from 1 species
UGUGUAAGCGAAGCGUAACGUGGAGCGGUGAAAGGCUCAGUAACGGGCGAGUUAUUUGUUCUCCUGGGACGGACAACACCGGGAAACUGGUGGGAAAACGUCUAAGUUGCGGUUUUUUAAUCGUGGCGUAAACCAUUUGGUGCAGGAGAGUAAGCUGCCAUCCUAUCAGUUAGUAAGUAGGGUAAGGGCCUACUUAGACGAAGACGGGUACGGGGAAUGAGGGUUUGAUUCCGGAGAGGGAGCCUGAGAGACGGCUACCAGGACCAAGGUCAGCAGCAGGCGCGAAAAUUAUCGAAGCCCGCGUAGGGGCGAUAGUGAGGAGACGUGUAUUACGAAGUGUGUGUAAAGAACGCACUAAUAACUGGAGGUCAAGUCUGGUGCCAGCAGCCGCG